rnacentral:lncRNA from 1 species
GUGAGUUGAUGAAUCUAACUAUUUUGAUAUAUGAUAAAAUUGAUGAGAAAUCUGGAAUUUUCCUUGUGUUUGACUGGUUUGCUCAUCCUAUACCGCCAAUGCCCGCAAGCAUGCAUCUGUUUUUGUUUCAUGGACAUCAUCAUAGAUAUUAUUGAAUAAUUUGUAUGUCUUCGUUGUCAUUAGCAUGUGGUGAAAAUAAUUCAUAUUUGGACAGACUCUCUCAUACACUACUAAGGCUUCAUUUGAUGGGCAUGGUGGUCAAGACUUUUUUAUAGUAAUUCUGAACAUUCUGUAGCAUUGCCUGUAUUCAUAAGAAAAAAACACAGUUAAAGACCUUCUCAGUUUAUGAUCACUACAUUUUAUGGCCAUCUUUGGCUGGAGGCUGCUAUUCUUUUCGCUUCUAGAACUUUCUGCACGUCAUGCUGUGUGAUUUAAUGCGGAUGUGUCCUUGACAUUUUAUCUCUCACAAUAUUUUGAAGGGAUUGCUGGAGAACACAGAGAAAGACCGAAUCAGAAGACUUGUAAGACUCAAGCCUCCGAAUGAGUUCUAAACUGAUAGCUCAAUAGCAAAGCCACUCUUUUCAAAGCACUAAAGAUCUUGCUUCAAGCCUCCGAAUGAGUUCUAAACUGAUAGCUCAAUAGCAAAGCCACUCUUUUCAAAGCGCUAAAGAUCUUGCUUAGAUACAAUAUUGUUUCUCUUCAGACCCCGGUUGUAACUUCUUAUUGUAUUUUCUGAUUGGAAUGUAUGAAAUUGCUGG